rnacentral:rRNA from 1 species
AUUGAACGCUGGCGGCAUGCCUUACACAUGCAAGUCGAACGGUAACAGGUCUUCGGAUGCUGACGAGUGGCGAACGGGUGAGUAAUACAUCGGAACGUGCCCGAUCGUGGGGGAUAACGGAGCGAAAGCUUUGCUAAUACCGCAUACGAUCUACGGAUGAAAGCAGGGGACCGCAAGGCCUUGCGCGGACGGAGCGGCCGAUGGCAGAUUAGGUAGUUGGUGGGAUAAAAGCUUACCAAGCCGACGAUCUGUAGCUGGUCUGAGAGGACGACCAGCCACACUGGGACUGAGACACGGCCCAGACUCCUACGGGAGGCAGCAGUGGGGAAUUUUGGACAAUGGGCGCAAGCCUGAUCCAGCCAUGCCGCGUGCAGGAUGAAGGCCUUCGGUUGUAAACUGCUUUGUACGGAACGAAAGACUCUUCUAAUAAAGAGGUCCAUGACGGUACCGUAAGAAUAAGCACCGGCUAACUACGUGCCAGCAGCCGCGGUAAAACG